rnacentral:rRNA from 1 species
UACGUAGGGGGCAAGCGUUGUCCGGAUUUACUGGGCGUAAAGAGCGGUGUAGGCGGCCAAGCAGGUCCGUUGUGAAAACUGGAGGCUUAACCUCCAGACGUCGACGGAAACCGCGUGGCUAGAGUCCGGAAGAGGAGAGUGGAAUUCCUGGUGUAGCGGUGAAAUGCGCAGAUAUCAGGAAGAACACCAAUGGCGAAGGCAGCUCUCUGGGACGGUACUGACGGCGAGACGCGAAAGCGUGGGGAGCGAAACAGGG